UACAUAAAAAUAAAUAUUCGGUGAUUUCCAGAUAUUUAGAACUCCUCGUUUUUCAUUGUGUUGUUGAUCUCGCCAGACGUUUUUACUAUAUUCCAUUUAUUUCUAAUUAUUUUAUUGUAAUUCUUUUCUUAUUAAUUUCACAGAACUACUGGAAUUAACAAGAAAAUUACAAUGUCAAACAGAAACAAUAAAGAAGAAUCAAGUGGAUGGAGUACUCUUGCGACUGUUGGUGGAAUGGUUGCAGCAUUCGGAUUGGGGGCAUAUUUGUUUAGUAAGUCACCAGAGACUCCUCAAGCCCAUUCUAGUUCUUCACAUCAUUUUUCUUCUCCUCCUCCUCAACCACAACCAAGAACACAGCAUAAUCAUCCGCCUGAAGAUUGUGUGAUUUGUUUGGAGUCUAUCAACGUUAAAAGACUUCCAUGUGGACAUUAUUUUCAUGAUAAAUGUAUAAAUAGCUGGGAGAAUUCUAGAAAUUCAUCAGGAUUUCCCCCAGACUGUCCAAAAUGCAGAGCAUUGUUUUAAUGACAAUUAUAUGUAACAAUUGCUAGGUGCAUUUGUUUUGCUUUGAAAAUUGACAAUGUAUUUUGGAUAUUUAUUAAAAAAAAAAAAGAAAC